AUGGAAAUAGAAGGAAAAUUAUUUUGCAAUAAAAAAAUAAGUCCAAUAAAAUAAGUCCAAUAAAAUUGGACUUAAUGCAUCACUCCCCAAUGUUUUGAAAAACUGCUGAGUAAAUUCAGUUCUUCAAAUGCACACCAUUCUGAUACUGAGUGUAAUUUCCUUAGAUUUAUUUUCUAUUUGUAUCACUUGGGUAAAAAUAUGUUAAAAGGAAAAUUAUUAAUAAUACUUUCAGUUCCCUUUCUGGUUUGUCCAGUGAGCAAUGAAUGUCGUAAUGCCAUUAAAAGAGAUCUUAUCUGAACUCGCAGUAAUAUAGUCAUUUGGAAAAUAGCUCAAGAGAGCUAUUUGUUUGUAUGAUAGCCAUUCAAAUUGUUUCUUCUUCUUCUUGCUUUAAAAUGCAACUUUGGCAGUUGAGGCUGUGACCAUAAGAAACCCAACUCCCUGCUGAAAUGUGGAAGGAUCAUAGUAGAUGGAGGACUACAUCAGACUAUAACUACAUGGGUCUCUACUCUGGGGGGUAGUGGCAGCAGGGCUUGGGACAACUGUGGAAGCUGUAUCACACUGGUGGUGGCUGCUGCUGUUCUUGUUGCUGUCCCUCUAAGCAAGUGCCCAAGGCUAGUGGCAUGGUCACUCACCCCUCAUCCACUACUAGAUCACAUCCCUAAGUAUGUGGUUAUCUUCACAGAGGAGAUCUGGAAUCAGAAGCAGCAUGAUCUGCAAUGCUUAUUGGCCCCAACUGGCUGCACAACUGGCAUGAGACGAGCUAACAUGUGUGGUGCUUUCUUUGGUGUACCACUGCAGAGCAUGUGCCACAAAUGGUAUGAGCAGCCUGUGUGUGUGGCACAACAGAUCAAGAAGGGGAUGGGCAGAACAGUAGCAGACAAGGCAGGAAGCAGAAAAAGCAGCAGAUCCAGCAGGGGAAGAGGAUCAAAGUGGCACUCAAAGAUGGUACAGGGCUAACCCCCUAGAGGAGUGGGUGUUGGCCCCACUGGGAAAAAAGAAUUGAUUUAGGAUGCUUGUCUGCUGGCCUUCUGUCACACAAUUUCCCCUUUCAUCCUUAACACUCCCAACAUCUGCAAGUUCCUGACUUUCUCAGGGAGAGCUGGUGGCAUUGGGAGCACAAGCUAAGAACACAAAAAAUCAUUGCCAGCAAUGUGAGAUAAAGAGAGGAGGUGUGUAAUAUUUCCUAGUGCCCAGUGCCUCAGGCACUGGAAUGGACAUUAAUGGCACAUAGAAAUACAUCCCAAGUAUUGUCUAGCUCUGUCUGUACCUGCUUGUCAAAUUCCUGUUGGUCCUGACUCUUAGUCGUUCUUUGGUAACACUUGUGUAAGUUGUCCUGCCAAUAAAACCCAAUUGAAUUGAAUUAAUUACA
rnacentral:lncRNA from 1 species